UGGGGAAUAUUGCACAAUGGGCGCAAGCCUGAUGCAGCCAUGCCGCGUGUAUGAAGAAGGCCUUCGGGUUGUAAAGUACUUUCAGAGAGGAGGAAGGCGGUAAGGUUAAUAACCUUAUCGAUUGACGUUACUCGCAGAAGAAGCACCGGCUAACUCCGUGCCAGCAGCCGCGGUAAUACGGAGGGUGCAAGCGUUAAUCGGAAUUACUGGGCGUAAAGCGCACGCAGGCGGUCUGUCAAGUCGGAUGUGAAAUCCCCGGGCUCAACCUGGGAACUACAUUCGAAACUGCCAGGCUAGAGUCUUGUAGAGGCGGGUAGAAUUCCAGGUGUAGCGGUGAAAUGCGUAGAGAUCUGGAGGAAUACCGGUGGCGAAGGCGGCCCCCUGGACAAAGACUGACGCUCAGGUGCGAAAGCGUGGGGAGCAAACA
rnacentral:rRNA from 1 species